rnacentral:rRNA from 1 species
GACGAACGCUGGCGGCGUGCUUAACACAUGCAAGUCGAACGGAAAGGCCCUGCUUUUGUGGGGUGCUCGAGUGGCGAACGGGUGAGUAACACGUGAGUAACCUGCCCUUGACUUUGGGAUAACUUCAGGAAACUGGGGCUAAUACCGGAUAGGAGCUCCUGCUGCAUGGUGUGGGUUGGAAAGUUUCGGCGGUUGGGGAUGGACUCGCGGCUUAUCAGCUUGUUGGUGGGGUAGUGGCUUACCAAGGCUUUGACGGGUAGCCGGCCUGAGAGGGUGACCGGCCACAUUGGGACUGAGAUAGGGGCCAGACUCAUACGGGAGGCAGCAGUGGGGAAUAUUGCACAAUGGGCGGAAGCCUGAUGCAGCAACGCCGCGUGCGGGAUGACGGCCUUCGGGUUGUAACCCGCUUUCGCCUGUGACGAAGCGUGAGUGACGGUAAUGGAUAAAGAAGCACCGGCUAACUACGUG